AACGAACGCUGGCGGCAGGCCUAACACAUGCAAGUCGAACGCUCCAGCAAUGGAGAGUGGCAGACGGGUGAGUAACGCGUGGGAACCUUCCCUAUGGUUCGGAAUAGCUCAGGGAAACUUGAGGUAAUACCGGAUAAGCCCUUCGGGGAAGGAUUUAUCGCCAUUGGGUGGGCCCGCGUAGGAUUAGCUAGUUGGUGAGGUAACGGCUCACCAAGGCGACGAUCCUUAGCUGGUCUGAGAGGAUGAUCAGCCACACUGGGACUGAGACACGGCCCAGACUCCUACGGGAGGCAGCAGUGGGGAAUAUUGGACAAUGGGCGCAAGCCUGAUCCAGCCAUGCCGCGUGAGUGAAGAAGGCCUUAGGGUU
rnacentral:rRNA from 1 species